rnacentral:rRNA from 1 species
GCGGGCGGGUGCUAUAAUGCAGUCGAACGCUUUUUCUUUCACCGGAGCUUGCUCCACCGAAAGAAAAAGAGUGGCGAACGGGUGAGUAACACGUGGGUAACCUGCCCAUCAGAAGGGGAUAACACUUGGAAACAGGUGCUAAUACCGUAUAACACUAUUUUCCGCAUGGAAGAAAGUUGAAAGGCGCUUUUGCGUCACUGAUGGAUGGACCCGCGGUGCAUUAGCUAGUUGGUGAGGUAACGGCUCACCAAGGCCACGAUGCAUAGCCGACCUGAGAGGGUGAUCGGCCACACUGGGACUGAGACACGGCCCAGACUCCUACGGGAGGCAGCAGUAGGGAAUCUUCGGCAAUGGACGAAAGUCUGACCGAGCAACGCCGCGUGAGUGAAGAAGGUUUUCGGAUCGUAAAACUCUGUUGUUAGAGAAGAACAAGGAUGAGAGUAGAACGUUCAUCCCUUGACGGUAUCUAACCAGAAAGCCACGGCUAACUACGUGCCAGCAGCCGCGGUAAUACGUAGGUGGCAAGCGUUGUCCGGAUUUAUUGGGCGUAAAGCGAGCGCAGGCGGUUUCUUAAGUCUGAUGUGAAAGCCCCCGGCUCAA